GAGUUUGAUCGUGGCUCAGGACGAACGCUGGCGGCGUGCCUAAUACAUGCAAGUCGAGCGAGUCUGCCUUGAAGAUCGGAGUGCUUGCACUCUGUGAAACAAGAUACAGGCUAGCGGCGGACGGGGUGAGUAACACGUGGGUAACCUGCCCAAGAGAUCGGGAUAACACCUGGGAACAGAUGCUAAUACCGGAUAACAACAGAUGAUGCCUAUCAACUGUUUAAAAGAUGGUUCUGCUAUCACUCUUGGAUGGACCUGCGGUGCAUUAGCUAGUUGGUAGGGUAACGGCCUACCAAGGCGAUGAUGCAUAGCCGAGUUGAGAGACUGAUCGGCCACAUUGGGACUGAGACACGGCCCAAACUCCUACGGGAGGCAGCAGUAGGGAAUCUUCCACAAUGGACGCAAGUCUGAUGGAGCAACGCCGCGUGAGUGAAGAAGGGUUUCGGCUCGUAAAGCUCUGUUGUUGGUGAAGAAGGACAGGGUAGUAACUGACCUUUG
rnacentral:rRNA from 1 species